ACUUUUAGGUUCCUUAAAAUGUGUAAAAAUCCAGAGAUACAGUAUAUUAAUUAGCUGUACAGGAGAAAAGAUACAUUGAAGGCCAUUUCGAUAUCGCGAAAGAUUAAACAGAACCCUAUAAAACCUCAUUGGCGAAAGGAAACGAAGUAAUAGAGUACAUAUUUUGAUGUUUAUAAAUUGGAGAAUACAUUAAAAACUGAUGAUAAUUAAUCAUAGGAAAAAAGUGGCUUUUCUAAGUUAUUUGAAACUUGGACAAAAGUCGCUCAUAGGGGUUGAAAAGAGUGACUUCUCCAGGUUACAAGAUCCAAGUGGCAACCCAGUGUAUCAGCAAGGCGUAACAAGUGUCUGUGUGACGUCACGCGGCUUUCUGGAGGCGGAGCCUGUGAUCGCGGGAGCAGGUGGGGGUGGGACUCUCCCGCAUCGUGGAUCGUUUGCCCCACCCUCGGGAUUUUGUUCCUUCGUACCACCGCCACCUUCAACCUCCUCCUUUUCUCCCCCGUCGUCUCUUUUACUCUCUUUUGAACUUUGUUCGGUGACCCCCCACCUGUCUCUACUCUACCAAGUUGCAAGAACGCCGAACUGCCACAAAAUACUCGGGUAAGCUGUAAUCAAAUAACCGUUGACCCUUUGAAGUUAACCGGUGAAGUCAAACGAUCCAGCCCGACGACGCACCGAUAUUACUUGAUACGUAACUUCGUUGAAGUUGGAAAGAAUUUUCCCGGAAUACAUACGCGAAAAGAUGGUGUAAGGCGCUUUAAAGGUCUCCGGUCGGCGUGUUCCCGCAACGCUACCGUUUAUUGCACUGUGGUCUGCUAAAGUGCAAUCGAGGAAGCAAAAUGCGGUUUCACUCGUUCGUGCGGGGCUCGCAAGAAUGUAAUUAACCCCUCGGAAGUGGCACGGUGCUUCGACCCGUAGCCGAUUUUACCUGCGUUUUCUUAUCUCUCUGUCUUUAAAAGUGAGAAGCGCGGACAAGGGACACCUCGCCGAUCGGUUUUGUCGGUUCACACCGAUCUACCGCAAAAAUCGGGUCUGCGUGUCGUGAAACCGCAAUUACUUACGCGAAAGACGCCGGCCAGAUCUAUCGCAGUUGUCACGUGUGUUUAUGGUUGUUCGACCAUGAUGUAAUCCCAUUGUUUUUUACUUGAUUUUUCUAAUCUGUAAGUUGAGAUUUUUUCUUUUAAUUGGGUAGUUUGCUUCUUUUAAUAAGAAAAUGUAUAAAUAAUGUGGUAAUUCAAUUCGUGGUUAGGAAUGCUUAAUAGAUGGAAUAAUUAGACAUUGUUAUUUGUCUUGUGAAUUAAUGAUCAAUUAAGAUGAGAUCUUUUGAAAUAAAUUUUCUUUGGUAGCAUUGUGUUGUAGUUAGUAGAUUUCUUUUAACAGAAAAUUGUACGAAUCGUGUGGUUAUAGAUAUGUAAAAGAUAGCGAUUGUUACUUAUCCUAUGAAUUAGUAAUUAAUUAAUUAAAUGAAAUAUAGGAAUUGUGCGAUAUUUUCGAAGCAACGUCGGAUUGUAAAGCUCGUUAUGAGGUAAGCGAGAUAACAGAUUAAUGGGCGGAGGGAAAGCAGAAACAUUUUUUACGCUUUUUAUCAGGAUGGCGACAUCGCUUGGAAACGAUACCGGUGGCCAGCGCCACCGGAAGGGCUUCGUAAGACACACUUAUCGACAACUCGAUUCUCAGAAAAUAGUGUCUCGUGAAAAGGGCUUUCCCCUGAUAACUUUGGUAAUCGAAGAAUUCUUAAUGUGAUAUGUUCGAACUCAUUAAUCAUGUACAUGUCGAAAUAAUCUUCCGAAGAUUUGUCCACGAAAAUUUGCUUCCUUUAACUAUGGAAUUUCGUUUCAAUGGAAAAUAGAUAGAAAGAGAUCGUAAGUAGAGGUUUCCUAAAUUCAACAGAAUCUUGUUA